AACGUGCCCUUUAGUACGGAAUAGCCAUUGGAAACGAUGAUUAAUACCGUAUACGCCCCAAGGGGGAAAGAUUUAUCGCUAAAGGAUCGGCCCGCGUUAGAUUAGGUAGUUGGUAGGGUAAUGGCCUACCAAGCCGACGAUCUAUAGCUGGUUUGAGAGGAUGAUCAGCAACACUGGGACUGAGACACGGCCCAGACUUCUACGGAAGGCAGCAGUAGGGAAUCUUGGACAAUGGGCGAAAGCCUGAUCCAGCCAUGCCGCGUGAGUGAUGAAGGCCCUAGGGUUGUAAAGCUCUUUCGCCAGGGAAGAUAAUGACGGUACCUGGUAAAGAAACCCCGGCUAACUCCGUGCCAGCAGCCGCGGUAAUACGGAGGGGGUUAGCGU
rnacentral:rRNA from 1 species